rnacentral:rRNA from 1 species
CCUACGGGUGGCUGCAGUGGGGAAUUUUGGACAAUGGGCGCAAGCCUGAUCCAGCCAUUCCGCGUGAGUGAAGAAGGCCUUCGGGUUGUAAAGCUCUUUCGCAAGGGAAGAAAACUUAUCCUCUAACAUAGGAUGAGGUUGACGGUACCUUGAUAAGAAGCACCGGCUAACUACGUGCCAGCAGCCGCGGUAAUACGUAGGGUGCGAACUGUGCGCGGAAUUUCUGGGGGUAAUGUUGGCGCUCGCUGUUGAAAUCCCCGAGCUCAACGUGGGAACUGCGGUUGAAACUACAAGACUAGAAUAGGUCAGAGGGGGGUAGAAUUCCACGUGUAGCAGUGAAAUGCGUAGAGAUGUGGAGGAAUAUCAAUGGCGAAGGCAGCCCCCUGGGAUCAUAUUGACGCUCAUGCACGAAAGCGUGGGGAGCAAACAGGAUUAGAUACCCCGGUAGUC